AUUGAACGCUGGCGGCAGGCCUAACACAUGCAAGUCGAACGAGUGGCGGACGGGUGAGUAACGUCUGGGAAACUGCCCGAUGGAGGGGGAUAACUACUGGAAACGGUAGCUAAUACCGCAUAUCAUCGGAUUUGCCCAGAUGUGAUUAGCUAGUGGGGGGGGUAACGGCUCACCUAGGCGACGAUCCCUAGCUGGUCUGAGAGGAUGACCGGCCACCCUGGAACUGGGACACGGUCCAAACUCCUACGGGAGGAGGAGGUGGGGAGUAUUGCACAAUGGGGGAAGGCCUAAUGCGGAAAUGCGGCGUGUAUGAAGAAGGCCUUCGGGUGGUAAGGUACUUUCAGCGAGAAGGCGUUACUCGCAGAGGAAGCGACGGCUAACUCCGUGCCAGCAGCCGCGGUAAUAC
rnacentral:rRNA from 1 species